rnacentral:rRNA from 1 species
AGUGAACGCUGGCGGUAGGCCUAACACAUGCAAGUCGAACGGCAGCACAGUAAGAGCUUGCUCUUACGGGUGGCGAGUGGCGGACGGGUGAGGAAUACAUCGGAAUCUACUUUUUCGUGGGGGAUAACGUAGGGAAACUUACGCUAAUACCGCAUACGACCUACGGGUGAAAGCAGGGGAUCUUCGGACCUUGCGCGAUUGAAUGAGCCGAUGUCGGAUUGGCUAGUUGGCGGGGUAAUGGCCCACCAAGGCGACGAUCCGUAGCUGGUCUGAGAGGAUGAUCAGCCACACUGGAACUGAGACACGGUCCAGACUCCUACGGGAGGCAGCAGUGGGGAAUAUUGGACAAUGGGCGCAAGCCUGAUCCAGCCAUACCGCGUGGGUGAAGAAGGCCUUCGGGUUGUAAAGCCCUUUUGUUGGGAAAGAAAAGCAGCAGGUUAAUACCCCGCUGUUCUGACGGUACCCAAAGAAUAAGCACCGGCUAACUUCGUG